rnacentral:rRNA from 1 species
CACACGACUCUCGGCAACGGAUAUCUCGGCUCUCGCAUCGAUGAAGAACGUAGCAAAAUGCGAUACCUGGUGUGAAUUGCAGAACCCCGCGAACCAUCGAGUUUUUGAACGCAAGUUGCGCCCGAGGCCUUCUGGUUGAGGGCACGCCUGCCUGGGCGUCACGC